UGCUUCCCAGACUCAGCUGCCCUGAUUUUCUUACUUUGUUCUUUAUCAUUUUACACACAGGAAGGAAGAAAAAACUGGAACCAUCACUCCAUCGAAACAGCAUUCAUCAGUCCAUUUUUUCCCAAAGGUAAUGGACUCGAGCUCCACACUCCACCUACUGUCAGGCUCAUUUUCCCAUGAGGCGUCGGCCAACUUCCACCAGAUCCCCAGUGCUCAAGACAGCUUAUCGCCCGGAGGACUGCUGACUUCUAAAUCCAAUGUCCCAAGCUGCUCCCGCAAAGACAGCAUCCCGGGGAAACAGAGUACACACCAAGCAGCUUCUCCUGGCACAAGCCUCAUGACUCUAAAGAAGCAGCCGAAACCGAGCUCCGACUUGGAUACCUACGUUCUGGGGGAUGGUGAGGAUUAUUUCCUUUCCUUGUUUGGAGACUCGAAGAAGCUCACAUCGCAUACAUCCCAAGCGGAGGACGUGAGCAAACACCUUUCUGUGAUUCUUGAGGAAGUCGGCCAGUUUGUAUCAAGUUCUCUUGGAGACAUUAAAAUAGCUGAGGUAAAUGUCAAGGGUUUCUUUGUGAGGCUUGUUAACUCCUCCAAUGAAAAGGAAGUAGAGAUUGGAAACUACAUCCUCCAGCAAAACGUGAACGGACAGGCAGUCUCCUUGUACCGAUUCCCUCACAACAUCACAAUGCAGGCCAGUGGCACGGUGACCGUAAGUAUGAUCUGAAACCAUCAUAGUCUUAGAGGGACGUGAACAUGGAAUCACAUCGGCCGGGAAGACUGUGCACAGGAAACACUGUGAGCUGGGAACACAGUGACUGAGAAUACAGUGGUGUGUGACUGACUAGUGUGAGUUAGGGGUAUCAUGGUGACAUAGAGUGACCUGUGAAUGUCAUGGGCUGGAAGUAAUAUAGACCCGGAAUAGCAGGGGCUGAUAAUACCAGGGGCUGGGAAUAGCAGGG
rnacentral:lncRNA from 14 species